rnacentral:tRNA from 1 species
UAUAUUUUAGUAUUUAAUGUACAUUAAAUUUUGAUUUUAAAAGAAGAGAUCCUAAGUCUCUAAAUAUAAUUCGG